rnacentral:rRNA from 1 species
CUCUGCCCAGUGACCACUUAAACGGCCGCGGUACCCUGACCGUGCAAAGGUAGCAUAAUCACUCGCCUCUUAAUUAGAGGCUGGAAUGAACGAGCCAACGUGAGCCUACCUGUCUCUCUAGUGCCCCAGUAAUUUAACCUUUAGGUGAAAAGGCCUAAAUAUAACUAAUAGACAAGAAGACCCUAUCGAGCUUCAUCGCAUAAAUGACUCACCUGGACUAACCAUAUAUUAACUUCCACGUAUCAUCCAAGCUAUUUUGUUGGGGCAACAAAGGAACAACAAAACCUUCCUUUAAAUAAUAAAUCUACCACACAAAGACCCAAUAAAUUGAUCAAAGGAAAAAGCUACCGUAGGGAUAACAGGUUAAUUUUUCUCGAGAGCCCACAUCAACAGAAAAGUUUGACACCUCGAUGUUGGCUUAGGCUAUCCCGCUAAUGCAGAAGUUAGCAAAGGUGGGUUUGUUCAACCCUUAAUAGCCU